rnacentral:rRNA from 1 species
GAAGGAAAAGUUCUAGCUUGCUAGAGAGUGGAUUAGUGGCGCACGGGUGAGUAAUGCAUAGGUUAUGUGCCCCAUAGUCUGGGAUAGCCACUGGAAACGGUGAUUAAUACUAGAUACUCCUUACGAGGGAAAGUUUUUCGCUAUGGGAUCAGCCUAUGUCCUAUCAGCUUGUUGGUGAGGUAAUGGCUCACCAAGGCUAUGACGGGUAUCCGGCCUGAGAGGGUGAACGGACACACUGGAACUGAGACACGGUCCAGACUCCUACGGGAGGCAGCAGUAGGGAAUAUUGCUCAAUGGGCGAAAGCCUGAAGCAGCAACGCCGCGUGGAGGAUGAAGGUUUUAGGAUUGUAAACUCCUUUUGUUAGAGAAGAUUAUGACGGUAUCUCAGAAAUUAAGC